ACGAACGCUGGCGGCGUGCCUAAUACAUGCCAGUCGAGCGGACGGAUGGGAGCUUGCUCCCAGACCGUCAGCGGCGGACGGGUGAGUAACACGUGGGCAACCUGCCUGUAAGACUGGGAUAACUCCGGGAAACCGGGGCUAAUACCGGAUAACUCUUUCCCUCACAUGAGGGAAAGCUGAAAGAUGGCAUCUCGCUAUCACUUACAGAUGGGCCCGCGGCGCAUUAGCUAGUUGGUGAGGUAACGGCUCACCAAGGCGACGAUGCGUAGCCGACCUGAGAGGGUGAUCGGCCACACUGGGACUGAGACACGGCCCAGACUCCUACGGGAGGCAGCAGUAGGGAAUCUUCCGCAAUGGACGAAAGUCUGACGGAGCAACGCCGCGUGAGUGAUGAAGGUUUUCGGAUCGUAAAACUCUGUUGUCAGGGAAGAACAAGUACCGGAGUAACUGCCGGUACCUUGACGGUACCUGACCAGAAAGCCACGGCUAACUACGUG
rnacentral:rRNA from 1 species